rnacentral:rRNA from 1 species
UAAAUGUGGAGCCGUAGCGGAAGCGAGUCUGAAUAGGGCGUUUAGUAUUUGGUCGUAGACCCGAAACCAGGUGAUCUACCCUUGGUCAGGUUGAAGUUCAGGUAACACUGAAUGGAGGACCGAACCGACUUACGUUGAAAAGUGAGCGGAUGAACUGAGGGUAGCGGAGAAAUUCCAAUCGAACCUGGAGAUAGCUGGUUCUCUCCGAAAUAGCUUUAGGGCUAGCCUCAAGUGAUGAUUAUUGGAGGUAGAGCACUGUUUGGACGAGGGGCCCCUCUCGGGUUACCGAAUUCAGACAAACUCCGAAUGCCAAUUAAUUUAACUUGGGAGUCAGAACAUGGGUGAUAAGGUCCGUGUUCGAAAGGGAAACAGCCCAGACCACCAGCUAAGGUCCCAAAAUAUAUGUUAAGUGGAAAAGGAUGUGGCGUUGCCCAGACAACUAGGAUGUUGGCUUAGAAGCAGCCAUCAUUUAAAGAGUGCGUAAUAGCUCACUAGUCGAGUGACACUGCGCCGAAAAUGUACCGGGGCUAAACAUAUUACCGAAGCUGUGGAUUGUCCUUUGGACAAUGGUAGGAGAGCGUUCUAAGGGCGUUGAAGCAUGAUCGUAAGGACAUGUGGAGCGCUUAGAAGUGAGAAUGCCGGUGUGAGUAGCGAAAGACGGGUGAGAAUCCCGUCCACCGAUUGACUAAGGUUUCCAGAGGAAGGCUCGUCCGCUCUGGGUUAGUCGGGUCCUAAGCUGAGGCCGACAGGCGUAGGCGAUGGAUAACAGGUUGAUAUUCCUGUACCACCUAUAAUCGUUUUA